rnacentral:snoRNA from 1 species
ACGACCUUACUUGAACAGGAUCUGUUCUAUAGGCUCGUACCUCUGUAUCCUUGAGUUCUAAGGAGACAGGAACUGAAGUCUGGUGGAUGAACCAUGACCCUGUGAUCAGAGCGUGAUUAACGGUCAGGUGUGUCUUCUCUCAGGAUUAGAUACAUCUUAGCUGUAGAGGAUCGUUCCUAGUUGUCAACAUCUGGGAUGGUCACAGGGUUGUCUGACAGACU